rnacentral:sRNA from 1 species
AGUUAGACAUAGUAGCUUGAAAAAGUGAAGCAGUACUUUUGUGAAAGGAGAGCUUGUUCCUGAGUUUGUGAAAACAAACCAAAAAAAAUCUUCGAUGUAGAUGGCUGGACGCUGCUUGCAUGGUUGAUGUAAAAUCAAUUUCAUAGCCAGUUCUACUUCGCGAUAAGUACGGAGGUUAUAAAAUU